ACCAGACUCCUACGGGAGGCAGCAGUGGGGAAUAUUGCACAAUGGGGGAAACCCUGAUGCAGCGACGCCGCGUGAGCGAGGAAGUAUUUCGGUAUGUAAAGCUCUGUCAGCAGGGAAGAAGAAUGACGGUACCUGAAGAAGAAGCACCGGCUAAAUACGUGCCAGCAGCCGCGGUAAUACGUAUGGUGCAAGCGUUAUCCGGAUUUACUGGGUGUAAAGGGAGCGCAGGCGGUUCUGCAAGUCUGAUGUGAAAGCCCGGGGCUCAACCGCGGGACUGCAUUGGAAACUGCGGGACUGGAGUGUCGGAGGGGUAAGCGGAAUUCCUGGUGUAGCGGUGAAAUGCGUAGAUAUCAGGAGGAACACCGGUGGCGAAGGCGGCUUACUGGACGAUGACUGACGCUGAGGCUCGAAAGCGUGGGGAGCAAACAGGAUUAGAUACCCCUGUAU
rnacentral:rRNA from 1 species